rnacentral:misc_RNA from 1 species
UAAUGCGAGAAUACCUUUAACAAAAAUAAAGAGAAGUAUUAGGUAAAGUGGGCCACUGAUGCAAAACGUAAGGUGACGAUAAUUAUUAUUCUGUAAGGGACCCAUCAAGCAUAGACGAUUUGGUGAUGGCAAUCCAAAGGUAAAGUUGGUUGGGGUAGGGGUAAUGUCCAUUUUGUUUUUUGUUUUUAAAAAUAAUAAUUUCCAAACGCUUUCCUGGCAUCCAAACAGGAGUUUAAGAACAAAAACAACUUACUGGAUCAUCAGUGACAGGAGAAG